rnacentral:rRNA from 1 species
UAGGGAAUAUUGGACAAUGGCCGAAAGGCUGAAGCAGCAACGCCGCGUGGAGGAAGAAUGGCUUUUGCUUGUAAACUCCUGUAUGAGGGGGAAAAAUCUCGCCUUUGGCGAGGAUGAUGGUACCCUCGGAGUAAGCCCCGGCUAACUACGUGCCAGCAGCCGCGGUAAUACGUAGGGGGCAAGCGUUGUCCGGAUUUAUUGGGUGUAAAGGGUGCUCAGGCGGAUUUGUAAGUCAGAGGUGAAAUCUCCCGGCUCAACCGGGAAACUGCCUUUGAUACUGCAAGCCUUGAGUUUGGAAGAGGAUGAUGGAAUAUCUGGUGUAGCAGUGAAAUGCGUAGAUAUCAGAUAGAACACCAAUGGCGAAGGCAGUCAUCUGGUCCAUAACUGACGCUAAAGCACGAAAGCGUGGGUAGCAAACAG